UUUCAUGAUGGAUUUUACAAAACAAUAUACGCUGGAAAUUACCGGCAGAGGCUUUCGGGCCGUUGAAGAAAUAAAAUGGCUAUAUCUGAUU
rnacentral:snoRNA from 1 species